GAUGAACGCUGGCGGCGUGCCUAAUACAUGCAAGUCGAGCGAACAGACGAGGAGCUUGCUCCUCUGACGUUAGCGGCGGACGGGUGAGUAACACGUGGAUGACCUACCUAUAAGACUGGGAUAACUUCGGGAAACCGGAGCUAAUACCGGAUAAUAUAUUGAACCGCAUGGUUCAAUAGUGAAAGACGGUUUUGCUGUCACUUAUAGAUGGAUCCGCGCCGCAUUAGCUAGUUGGUAGGGUAACGGCUUACCAAGGCGACGAUGCGUAGCCGACCUGAGAGGGUGAUCGGCCACACUGGAACUGAGACACGGUCCAGACUCCUACGGGAGGCAGCAGUAGGGAAUCUUCCGCAAUGGGCGAAAGCCUGACGGAGCAACGCCGCGUGAGUGAUGAAGGUCUUCGGAUCGUAAAACUCUGUUAUUAGGGAAGAACAAAUGUGUAAGUAACUAUGCACGUCUUGACGGUACCUAAUCAGAAAGCCACGGCUAACUACGUG
rnacentral:rRNA from 1 species